rnacentral:rRNA from 1 species
UACAGAGGUCCCAAGCGUUGUUCGGAUUCAUUGGGCGUAAAGGGUGCGUAGGUGGCGUCGUAAGUCAGGUGUGAAAUCUCGGAGCUUAACUCCGAGACUGCAUUUGAUACUGCGGUGCUUGAGGACUGGAGAGGAGACUGGAAUUUACGGUGUAGAGGUGAAAUGCGUAGAGAUCGGAAGGAAGACCAGUGGCGAAGGCGGGUCUCUGGACAGUUCCUGACGCUGAGGCGCGAAGGCCAGGGGAGCAAACGGG